CUAUUUCCUUCGAUAUCAGUGUAAUAUAAUAAUCAUGAUAUUUGCUGUCAUGCAUGAUUAUUGGAUUACACUAGACAGCAGAUUACUAUAGAUUACCAUGCAAGACAGCAAAUAUCAUAAUUAUUAGAUUACACUGAUAUCGAAGGAACUA